rnacentral:rRNA from 1 species
CCUACGGGUGGCAGCAGUGAGGAAUAUUGGUCAAUGGGCGCGCGCCUGAACCAGCCAAGUAGCGUGAAGGAUGACUGCCCUACGGGUUGUAAACUUCUUUUAUAAAGGAAUAAAGUGAGGCACGUGUGCCUUUUUGUAUGUAUUUUAUGAAUAAGGAACGACUAACUCCGUGCCAGCAGCCGCGGUAAUACGGAGGAACCGAGCGUUAUCCGGAUUUAUUGGGUUUAAAGGGAGCGUAGAUGGGUUGUUAAGUCAGUUGUGAAAGUUUGCGGCCCAACCAUAAAAUUGCAAUUGAUACUGGCAGCCUUGAGUACAGUUGAGGUAGGCGGAAUUCGUGGUGUAGCGGUGAAAUGCUUAGAUAUCACGAAGAACUCCGAUUGCGAAGGCAGCUUACUAAACUGCCACUGACAUUGAUGCUCGAAAGUGUGGGUAUCAAACAGGAUUAGAUACCCUUGUAGUC